CAUAUGGCGCUUCAUAUGUAAUAUGGCGAGGCGGAAUCCCAGCUACUGUAUUCAAAUUAGAUGCCCCAUAUUAAUUUAUUACACCGACCUGAAGGGGAGUGUUCUGUACACAGAUACACUGUAGUGAUGGAGGCCCACAAUUUGUCCUGCAUCAUUUGUUUGGAUCCCUUCACCGUCCCAGUCACCGUCCCAUGCGGUCACACCUUCUGUCGAGACUGCAUCACGGCUCACUGGGACACGAAGUCCAUGUCUGAUAUGCCCUGUCUGCAAUGAGAAAUUCACCACCAGGCUUGUCCUGAAUCGCAACGUGUCCCUGUCCUCUCUGGCUGAGGCCUCAGCAAACAGUGCCGGUGCAUCCGGUAGAGACACUGUACCAGUUAUGAGGACCAGAGCCAUGACCCUGAUUCUGUGACCGACACAAGAAGCCCCUGGUGUACUACUGCCGGACAGACAACGUGUGUAUGCUGUGAGUGUGCCAUCUCUGAGUGUAAGAACCACGAGGAGGUGCUGGUGGAGUGUGAGAGGGAGAACCGAGAGUCACUACUGUGGAGGAAGAGUGUGGAGGUGUAUAUACAUAUGUGAAUAUGUAUAGAGGAGACUGAAAGGAGCUGGGCUGACAGAGAAUAUCGCCAAAGCCAAGACCGCUGCACUCUGACCCUCAUACGGCCAACAGUCACCUGCUACUCUCCCAGGAGGAGCGCUGCGCCGUGUCCCCGCCCACGAGACUCGCCAAGACCACACCUGGCAGGUGCUCUGCUUCAAACACAGAAAGCAGUACUGGGAGCUGGAGGUGUCCAAGCCAUGGGCCUACCUGGGGGUCAGAGUGUGAAGGCUAUAGUUUGGGGACUAUAGAAUUGCACCUGUGUCUUUUGAGACUUCCCAACAUAACCUUUGACCCCUGCGUCUCUCCCCCAGUUCACCUAUGAGGGCAUGCCCAGGAAGGAAAAGGGAAAGAGUAGCAUGGUGGUAAUGAACGAUCUGCCCUGGAGCCUCCAGCUAGACGAGGAUCAGCUGAACGCCUGGCACAGCGGGCGCUGGGAGAUGGUGGCUGGUCACUACCACCACAUUGUAAUGCUGCUGGAUUACGAGGCGGGAGCGCUGACGUACUACGAAGACAGGCAGAUGAGGCUGCAUUCCUUCUACUGUGCCUUCACUCAGGAGCUGUUCCCCCACCUGUCGGAUAGGGGAGGGCGUCAGCGUCACCCUCUGCUCACCGUGAUGACAACACGAAAGGGAACAACUGAGCUAACACUGUCAUAAGGGACUAGUCUUGCAAAGCUGAUGAGUGUUGUGAUCUCUCCUUACUGUACAGAUGUUUUUACAGUCCUGUUGUGGGACACGGACUUGAACGGGAGCGACUAGUAAGUACAUAUGUGACACGGGACUCUUCUGAAAUAUGGGAUCGCUCAGGACAGUGGACUAGUCUUUGGGAUACUGUUGUGGAUUUGCAGGUUCUCAGAACCGUGAGCACAUUUAGGAACUGGAAAUGACUACUGUGCGGGAAACCGGUUUUCCAUAAGAGAAGGGAAAAGCACAUGUCUAGGGUCCCUAAAGGCUGAAGAAAUUUCACAGAAGUUCCUGUUGGAUUCCUAAUGAAGCUGACGUUAAAUGUUUUGCACUACUUUGUGUUGGAAGUUGGAACUGGACAAAUAUGGUACUUCAGAUUUAGACAGCUUGUCGUUUUGUUAAACAAGGCAAUGACGUAGCGUAUAAAAAAAAAAAAAACAGAAAGUCAGGUACCCAGGCUUGCAUCACAAUGUGUACAGAAAAAUGAACUACUGUCAAAUAAAUAAAAUGGACACACUUCACAUCACAAGAUCAGUUUAAUAAAAAUUCUAUCCAUAUUAGUUACAAUUGAGCCCAUGCUUUGGUCUUUUUAAUAAUAUAUUUGACCAUUUCAAAUGAAUUUAUCAAUAAAUUAGUGGGAACUUGAAAUAAAUAUAGCCAUAUCUGACUUUUUUUUUUUACUAUACACAUAGCCAUGGCAGGCGCAAAGAGGCCCGAUGCAUAGCAUUCUGAAAGUGCAAAGAAUCUUCCAGCUGCAUUGUGCCAGAGAGAAAGAGAGAUGCCCAAAUAUUAAGGUGCUCAGAUCAGAUUCAGGAGACUGACCUCAAACAUGUCAGUGAAGGACACACCACAAGAGAAGUUGAUAGCCAUCAGUGUAGUUAAAUGUGAGAGAUGUGACUAUUGAUCUAAUCUGUUAGUCCAGAACACUGCAGAGUGAUGUGAUGCAAGGAACUAUUUCAUUUGUUUAAUUUCCUUGAUGUGGUGGGUGAGUGAGUUCUAGAAUGUUCAGAAGAGUGACACAGGACAUGACAUCAUAGGGCAACUGCUCUAUAUACACACACAGGAAGUAGCAGUAGUCGCAGAUAGCUAAGAUCAUCUUUCCAUGUAGUUUGAUAGUUCAACUAGGAUCAGGGAUUCUUAGUGUUCUAGAUAGCUUUCCACUAUACCGGACAUUUUGGUUCCUAUCAACACAACGGGAAAGUCUCAAAUUACACUAUAUUCCCUUUAUAGAAGGGUGUUAUUUCAGAUAUGUAAAUUUUCAACAAAGACCUGGUCCAAUGAUCUACUGCUAUCCUCUCAUUAAAAGUUGUCACAUUAAAAGCCUGUACAGAGAAAUAAUAAAUUAAAUCAACAAUAUACAGCCUUUCGCUAGCCCCUGGAAAGCUGAGAAAUCACAGUCCUGUUCAAUUAGUCAUCAACGGUCUUCUGAAAUAAACCAGGUUCUCACCAAAACGACCUGCUAAACCUUGA